GUAGUCAUAUGCUUGUCUCAAAGAUUAAGCCAUGCAUGUCUAAGUAUAAGCAAUUAUACAGCGAAACUGCGAAUGGCUCAUUAAAUCAGUUAUCGUUUAUUUGAUAGUACCUUACUACAUGGAUAACCGUGGUAAUUCUAGAGCUAAUACAUGCUAAAAAUCCCGACUUCGGAAGGGAUGUAUUUAUUAGAUUAAAAACCAAUGCCCUUCGGGGCUCUCUGGUGAUUCAUAAUAACUUCUCGAAUCGCACGGCCUUGCGCCGGCGAUGGUUCAUUCAAAUUUCUGCCCUAUCAACUUUCGACAGCUGGGUCUUGGCCAGCCGUGGUGACAACGGGUAACGGAGGGUUAGGGCUCGACCCCGGAGAAGGAGCCUGAGAAACGGCUACUACAUCCAAGGAAGGCAGCAGGCGCGCAAAUUACCCAAUCCCGACACGGGGAGGUAGUGACAAUAAAUACUGAUACAGGGCUCUUUCGGGUCUUGUAAUUGGAAUGAGUACAAUUUAAAUCCCUUAACGAGGAACAAUUGGAGGGCAAGUCUGGUGCCAGCAGCC
rnacentral:rRNA from 1 species